GAAGCUAAACGAACGCACCCAGUGAAGGCCUAGAGUAUCAGUUUUGGCCUAGAGUAUUAGUUUUGGCAUAUAGAUAUAAGACUAACUCUCUACUCUUUCAACAGGUUUUGAUGGAGAUGGGUUAAGUAUAAGGUGUGACUUGCGUAGUACUUAGUCUUGAUUUCAAGACGCUCAAUCUAAUUUCAUUUGCGGUGACACAACUCACCCAAGGACAGUAAAACAAGAUCCAAAUAAAAUAAUGUCUUGAACCAAAACUAAAAACUUAGUCUCGUUUCAAGAUGUUCAAUCUCAUUUUAUUUGCGGUGCAACAACUCACAAUGGACGGUAAACACACUAUCCUAAAAAAAAUACAAGAUAAUGUCUUGAACCAAAACUAAGAACUACGCUGUCUUAAGUAAACGCAGAGCUUGAAGAUGGAGACAUUCCCUUCGAUGUCACUGAGUGACUAGAGGUCAAUGAGGUCAGCAGCUUCGAGCAAAGAGUCUGGACCCGUUCCUCCUGAAAAAGAUGUUGUGGCAGAUGACGUGCAGACGAAGCAGUCCUGAAACUCCCUUUGAUAUCGCCGAUUCAUGACCUGAUGUCACUGGGUUUGAUGAGGUCUUUGCAGCAAAGGUUUAUAAGUAUCAUAUUGAGUUCCAUCAGCUGAGGAAGAACUUUGCCAGUUAAAGCUCUUUGACUUUUUGCUACAACUUCAACCGUUCAAGAUAGCGAUGACCAGCACUAUUGGACCAGAGCAAAGAGUCACCAACAUCAUUUUGGUUGAGUUGAUGAUCUUGGAGAUGACAUUUGGGCUCAUCAUAACUUUUUGGACCGAGUGCACCAGCUGAAGGACUGCGUCAAAUCUAGCUACCUGACUCUCUGCUACAAGUUCAACCGUUCAAGUGACGAAGGGAUGUUGUCCGGGGAUUUAACCACCACUUUGUGGACUGAACAGCUGAAGAUCUGGGUCAUAGUUCAAGUAUCAAAGACAAUAAUAAUGAUAGAACACUUCUUAGAACAAACUCUCCUCCAAAGGUGAUUUUACACAUGGUUGUACCAUGGAACUUUACUAGUUGUAGUCAAUGGUUGAUUUCCACACCAUGCUAAGCUUCAAUGCUUUUUGGACCGUCACUGACUGAUGAAAGACUGUGUCAAGUCUAGGUGAUCACCCACAUGCUCAACUAACACGAGCUGGAUGAUGAGGGCGCCUGCUAUGAUGACGCUUGAGUGGAGGACCACAUACAUGAAGAACCAUAGGACCAGGGCCAAUUUCAUAGAGCUGCUUAACAAGAAAAUAUUGCUUAACAACUUUCUGCUAACAGAAAUGAGCAGGA